rnacentral:misc_RNA from 1 species
ACUACGUGCGAGUGCCUGGCAUUACAAUAAUAAUUAUUAAUUAAAAUUAAUUAAUAUGAUAUAAGUGAAAACAGUGUUGAAUGAUGCCCGCUUUUAACCAAUAUCUAUGUAAUUUUUUUCUUUGAUUAGAAUUCAUUCCAUUUUGAUUUUAUAAAAUUGCUUCACUAAUUAAUACUAUAGUUUACAUAAGGUAUAUUCAGAUCGAUCGAAUGCGCUGCUCCUUUUAAUGAUCGAUCAUUUCAUACAUACACACUGUAUACCACCAGGAGCCGCCGGAAUGUUUUAAAGGGCAAAGAUUCAGUAUUACCGAUCAAACUCCUAGAUCGCGAUUAAAGUGUGUUUAAUAUAAACUACUAAAAACCGAAGGGUCGAAGGUCUUCCCUUGCCCAUGCCUGGCGGUAUCCCUGUAUGUGACAAUCUAAUUUGAUCCAUAACCAUUCUUAAAUUAUAAGAAAACUUUUAAUGAUUCUCAAAUUACUCGAAUUCAUCGGGACCUUAUUAAGAACGUUACGAUUAUUCUUAAAUUAAAUCAACUAAUAAUUUCUGAUUGAUGCAUUAAAAAUUCAGAUAGACCAUAGAAAGAAUUUCAAAUAAAAUUAAGCACGAUGUAGAAAAUUGCCAUAUUUCCAUGGAAACGUAUCGAUUUUUUAUAUUAUUAACGAAGCAAAUGCACUUAUUAAAUUUAACGAUCAAAUCAUAUCAUCAAAAACGAUGCUGGAGUGUAAUUUUCGCAUGCACAACAAAUGAGGAUCUUCAAUGGAUAAUAUAUUGCAACCGACAGUUUCUACACUAGAGAUAUUUGGAAUUUAUUACCAUUCAGACAAAACUCGAAAAUCAUUUAUCGUAUAUUAUCGUAAGAGUUUAAUCCUUAUAUUUUGGGUUUUUUUCUUCUUAUCCAUCAUAGACCUAAUUUUUGGCAUAUGGACCAUUUUUUUAAUCGGAGAUUGGAGUCGAGUAUGGAGAGGAUAUAUUGUAGUAUGCCGCAUCAUAUUAUCGGUUCUGUAUUUCUUUUGUUCGUGGGUAUUGACUUAUUGGCCUUGCAAUGGUAAGUCUAUGGAAAAAUUCAAUCAAAUUUGGCACUCGAGAGAGCUAAAAGCCAUCGAAGAAGCUAUCAAAAUUAAAAUAUAUCAACAUCAAUGUAGCAUUUUGCUGUGUAUGGGUUAUAUGUAUGCAAUUUUGGUAUGCUUGUUACCAUUUUUGAACACAUAUUACAGGAUUAAACAUGCCAUGUUUAAUGAUGCCGACAUCCUUGCUGUGUUUCUUAUCACUAUCCUAAGUUUGUUUUCAUUAGGAAUUUGUGGUUACUCGGUUGCAUAUUUUACUCUUCUGUGUAGGGGUUUGGUGGAAGGUUUCUUGGCAGUUUCUGAAAAUAUCGAACACUUAAGAAAAUCCGGACGUUCCGUUUGUAUUUUAUUAUUACAAGAUAACAUUCGUCAAUAUCAGUGUCUCUGUCAAAUGGUUCAGCUCAUUAAUAAAAUAUUCAGUCGCUUUGUAUUCGUCAUGUACAUUACUUUCUUGUUAAUUUCUUGUUUAAUUUAUUAUCUUUACUUGUUUCUGAAAGGCUUACAUGGGCUGAGAAUUAUAUUGCUCUGCUUAAUUAUCUUUUUCUCUGCAGUUAUAAGCUGUAGCUCUUUGACAGCCGCCGAUGUAGCGCAAGCGGCUUAUAAGCCCCAAUCUUCAAUUUACAGACUUAUCAUAUAUGGUAAAAUUUCUCCAAAAGAACAGAUAAAGAUGCAUACUGUCAUGAAGGGUCUAAUGGUUAAUAAAGUUGGAAUAUCUUGCAUGGAUUUCUUUAUUCUGACCAGAAAUGGUAUUCUAAAGGUUUUCACAACUCUUGUAUCUUAUGUUUUAAUUUUGGUUCAAGUUCAGCAACUGGAUAUUGAAGAGGAAUGUUAAAAUUGAUGAGACUGAUUGUGAUGUUGGUGUUGAACAGCCUCAUAUUAGAAUAGGUUCUAUAUUAGGUCAGGAAGAAGUAGAAGUGCA